rnacentral:lncRNA from 1 species
UCAAGUGUUUGUAGAUGAAAAGUGGCGCUCUGUUACUCCUAAGCCUGAUGCUUUUGUUGUCAACAUUGGUGAUACAUUUAUGGUAAGUUAUUUCAUUUAUGAAUUAGGCUCAGUUUGUUUAGACAGAAAAUCUUUUUCGUUUUUCCCCCUACGAAAAGUCUACAAGACUCCAACAUGUGGGACAAAAACAGGACCUUCAGAAGACUUUCUACACAAAAUAUGAGGCAUUCUUUAUGGAUUUGAAUAUAUGCUUUCUCUGAUGUGAUUUUUCAGGCUCUAUCCAAUGGGAUUUACAAGAGCUGCUUGCAUAGAGCAGUGGUUAACAACAGAACUGUGAGGAAAUCUCUUACUUUCUUCCUUUGUCCCAAAAAGGACAGGGUGGUGACCCCACCAAGAGGUUUGGUUGAUUCCAAGAGCCCAAGGAUGUACCCGGACUUUACCUGGCCGACUUUGCUAGAGUUUACACAGAAACACUACCGGGCUGACAUGAAGACGCUGGAUGCCUUCUCAGACUGGAUUAUAAAUAAAAACAACUAACCAUGAAAGAAGCACCAGGAAAAGUAGGUGUACGUAAUGCUUUGGUGGGUGUUCAUGGGAAAAGAUGACAGAAACACCAAGAAGGGAGGAGAGGGAACUAGGCUGUUAACUAGUGUGUCAUCGUCGGAGAGAAUCAUGUCAGUUUGGAGGCAUAAAUAAGUUAAGGGGCUCCAUAUCUUCUUAAUUUUACUUUUCUGUCAAUUCAACAAUGAAUCAUUGUAAUUAUAAUAUAUACUUUGUUGACCACCAAGCUGUGUUGUUAUUGGACUUCCAUAAACUAUUCUAAUUAAUAUCUGCAUGUACAGCCGUCAACUUCCAAAGAAAUUAUGCCUCUCAGCUUGAUAUCAAAGUAAAGGAACAAAUAGAUAGUAUUAUUAAAAUCUAGAACAAUGUAUACUUUACUAUAUCUUAAUUACUAUGAGAAAUUAUAUGCAGGGUGAGGUUUUUCUCAUUUCAUCCUCACAAGUAUCGACAGUGACGUGAGUUUUAACAACUAGGGUAAUGUCCUUUGCUUAAGAUGCACAAAGUUUUAAUAUAUAAAUUGGUGUGCAUCUUUGCUUUUUACUACUUCAACAAAAAGUGAAAAAUAGUUUUUAGGUAAACAUUAAAGAAAUACUUGUAAAGAGAACAUAAGGAUUAGAAUUAGAUUCACAACCAAGCACUAUAACUAUUUUAUAUUAGGUUUUUCUAGUUUUAAUAUUAUCAGUUAUAUCUGUCUAGUUCAGCAACAUUGCAAUGGAGCUCAAAAUCAAUUCUUUGUCAAAUCAAUUGAAAGAACUACCAUUUGUUGGUAACAUGAAAGGUUACUAAAUUUUGCUAAAUCCUGAGUAUAAUCUUAUUACUAUUGCACAUGUUUACUUACCGGAAAUGGAGGAAGCCAUGAAUCAGGGAAUUUAGAUAAGAGAAUCAAGGUAUUGGAACCGGAUCAACUACUCCCCCUAGUUGAUACCAUUCCCGAUUUUGAGGGUAUUUAAUUACGAAUUUUACUGUGGAAUUCGCAUAAUAUUUUAUUCCUUGCUUGUUAGUAAACGCGGAAAAUCAGGAAUUGGAAUCAUUCCAAUAUGCAUGCGUUAGUAAACAGAGGAGAAGCAUAUAUUGGAUUCAUUCCAAUACCCAUUUCUGAUAAGUAAACAUUCCAAAGACCCUUUGUUAAAUAAAACUGUUAGAAGACUACAUAAAUGUAAUUAAGACAUAUUUUUAUUAGCCUAAUUUUAGCCAUAAUUUUUUUUAGUAAAAAGAAAACACCAACUACAAAAAAAAAAUUUAAAUAAAUAAAAUAUUUUUUAAAAAAACCAACAACAACAACAAUUGGAAAGCAAAGCAUUACCAGAACAUCCAUGGCUGAAACACCAAGAAUUGGGAAGAGCUCACCCCAUGUCAGCUGCUGAGUACCCACGAAAACCCAAGAGCUUGAAGCCUCAGACAACAACAAAGUGAAAAGGUUGAAGCAAUUCCUCAGUUGCCCAACUGAAAACCAUCAAAUUGAAGCCAAUGCGUGAAGGACCAAAGAUAGGCCAAGGCGUAGCGAAGCAGAGUGUGGAGGUCAAGCUUGUGAGCUUAAGGGCUGGAGUGGAUGUCAAACUUGAGAGAGAACGAUCGGGUUUUGUGAGGGAGAUUUUAAAAAUAAAACAAAAUGAAAAAGGCCAAUAUUUUACUUCUUACUUUUUCAAAACCAUUUUUUUAAUGUCUGCCCAAAUAUGGUUUUGAAUACCUUUUGC